CGAACGCUGGCGGCGUGCUUAACACAUGCAAGUCGAACGGGGAUAAGUGCAAAGGCUUCGGCCCGGAAGACUAAUCGAGUGGCGGACGGGUGAGUAACGCGUGAGCAACCUGUCCCAGACAGGGGGAUAACACUUGGAAACAGGUGCUAAUACCGCAUAAGACCACGGGGUCACAUGGCUCUGGGGUAAAAGGAGCAAUCCGGUUUGGGGUGGGCUCGCGUCCGAUUAGAUAGUUGGUGAGGUAACGGCCCACCAAGUCGACGAUCGGUAGCCGACCUGAGAGGGUGAUCGGCCACAUUGGAACUGAGAGACGGUCCAAACUCCUACGGGAGGCAGCAGUGGGGAAUAUUGCACAAUGGAGGAAACUCUGAUGCAGCGACGCCGCCGUGAGUGAAGAAGUAUUUCGGUAUGUAAAGCUCUAUCAGCAGGGAAGAAAGGCUCGAAAGAGAGAUGACGGUACCUGACUAAGAAGCCCCGGCUAACUACGUGCCAGCCGCCGC
rnacentral:rRNA from 1 species